GUACGUCAUCACGGGAGCCCGGCGCACCGGGCUGAGAGGCGGGCUGUGGCGGCCCGCGACCGUCCGAACCUGAUCCGGGUCAUGCCGGCGAAGGGAGCAUCAGCGGCUGUGGCA
rnacentral:ncRNA from 2 species